UAAGGAAUAUUGGUCAAUGGAGGCAACUCUGAACCAGCCAUGCCGCGUGCAGGAAGACGGCCUUCUGGGUUGUAAACUGCUUUUCUACAGGAAGAAGGAGCCCUGCGGGGUUAUAUGACGGUACUGUAGGAAUAAGCACCGGCUAACUCCGUGCCAGCAGCCGCGGUAAUACGGAGGGUGCGAGCGUUGUCCGGAAUUAUUGGGUUUAAAGGGUGCGUAGGCGGGUCUUUAAGUCAGAGGUGAAAGCCCACAGCUCAACUGUGGAACUGCCUUUGAUACUGGAGACCUUGAGUAUCGUUGAGGUAGGCGGAAUUUAUGAUGUAGCGGUGAAAUGCAUAGAUAUCAUAAAGAACACCAAUUGCGUAGGCAGCUUACUGGACGAUAACUGACGCUGAGGCACGAAAGCGUGGGGAGCGAACAGG
rnacentral:rRNA from 1 species